rnacentral:rRNA from 1 species
CCUACGGGUGGCAGCAGUGAGGAAUAUUGGUCAAUGGACGAGAGUCUGAACCAGCCAAGUAGCGUGAAGGAUGACUGCCCUAUGGGUUGUAAACUUCUUUUAUAAAGGAAUAAAACGAGGCACGUGUGCCUUUUUGCAUGUACUUUAUGAAUAAGGAUCGGCUAACUCCGUGCCAGCAGCCGCGGUAAUACGGAGGAUCCGAGCGUUAUCCGGAUUUAUUGGGUUUAAAGGGAGCGUAGAUGGGUUGUUAAGUCAGAUGUGAAAGUUUGCGGCUCAACCGUAAAAUUGCAAUUGAUACUAGCAGUCUAGAGUACAGAUGAGGUAAGCGGAAUUCGUGGUGUAGCGGUGAAAUGCUUAGAUAUCACGAAGAACCCCGAUUGCGAAGGCAGCUUACUAAACUGUGACUGACAUUGAUGCACGAAAGUGUGGGUAUCAAACAGGAUUAGAUACCCCUGUAGUC